rnacentral:tRNA from 1 species
GCGGACGUGGCGAAAUUGGUAGACGCACGGGACUUAAAAUCCCUCGCCCUCUGGGUGUGCGGGUUCGAGUCCCGCCGUCCGCACCA